rnacentral:tmRNA from 1 species
GGGGGCGUAACGGUAUCGACUGGAUAGGGAAAAUUAUAUUAGCAAGUAGUGGUUGGUGGACGGGCCACUUUAAAAGUCUACCAAAUGCUUUAACUGGCACUAAUCAGUUAGCCCUUGCUGCUUAAUUAAAUAACAGCAACAAUCUUAGGAAGCGAUAAAGGUAGCGUCCAAAAGAUUGUCGUAAAAUCCUUUGGCUCCUGUUAGUGGUGACGGUUAACAGGCUAAGAUGUGUCACUAGGAUUGAUGAAUGUUUUUUAUUCUUUAGUCAUAUCCAAAAUUUUAUGAAUAAAAUAAACUUGUAGAAGAUGUAAUUAGAAUUAUCACAGCACGGCAGUUCGACUCUGCCCGCCUCCACUU